GGCCAGACUCCUACGGGAGGCAGCAGUGGGGAAUAUUGCACAAUGGGGGAAACCCUGAUGCAGCGACGCCGCGUGAGUGAAGAAGUAUUUCGGUAUGUAAAGCUCUAUCAGCAGGGAAGAAAAUGACGGUACCUGACUAAGAAGCCCCGGCUAACUACGUGCCAGCAGCCGCGGUAAUACGUAGGGGGCAAGCGUUAUCCGGAUUUACUGGGUGUAAAGGGAGCGUAGACGGCAUGGCAAGUCAGAUGUGAAAGCCCGGGGCUCAACCCCGGGACUGCAUUUGAAACUGUCAGGCUGGAGUGCAGGAGAGGUAAGUGGAAUUCCUAGUGUAGCGGUGAAAUGCGUAGAUAUUAGGAGGAACACCAGUGGCGAAGGCGGCUUACUGGACUGUAACUGACGUUGAGGCUCGAAAGCGUGGGGAGCAAACAGGAUUAGAUACCCGCGUAA
rnacentral:rRNA from 1 species